CCUACGGGAGUCAGCAGUGGGGAAUAUUGGGCAAUGGGCGCAAGCCUGACCCAGCAAUGCCGCGUGAAGGAAGAAGGCUUUCGGGUUGUAAACUUCUUUGACAGGGGAAGAGCAGAAGACGGUACCCUGAAAACAAGCCACGGCUAACUACGUGCCAGCAGCCGCGGUAAUACGUAGGUGGCAAGCGGUGUCCGGAUUUACUGGGUGUAAAGGGCGUGUAGCCGGGAAGGCAAGUCAGAUGUGAAAUCCGGAGGCUCAACCUCCGAAUGGUAUUUGAAACUGUUUUUGUUGAGUACUGGAGAGGCAGACGGAAUUCCUUGUGUAGCGGGGAAAGGCGUAGAUAGAAGGAGGAACCCCAGUGGCGAAGGCGGUCUGCGGGACAACAACUGACGGUGGGGCGCAAAAGCGUGGGGAGCAAACAGGAUUAGAUACCCGGGUAGUC
rnacentral:rRNA from 1 species